UAUCCGGAAUUAUUGGGCGUAAAGGGCUCGUAGGCGGUUCGUCGCGUCCGGUGUGAAAGUCCAUCGCUUAACGGUGGAUCCGCGUCGGGUACGGGCGGGCUUGAGUGCGGUAGGGGAGACUGGAAUUCCCGGUGUAACGGUGGAAUGUGUAGAUAUCGGGAAGAACACCAAUGGCGAAGGCAGGUCUCUGGGCCGUCACUGACGCUGAGGAGCGAAAGCGUGGGGAGCGAACAGGAUUAGAUACCCUGGUAGUCCACGCCGUAAACGGUGGAUGCUGGAUGUGGGGAC
rnacentral:rRNA from 1 species